GGUGGCUCAUGCCUGUAAUCCCGGCACUUUGGAAGGCCGAGGCAGGUGGAUCACAAGGUCAGGAGAUGGAGACCAUCCUGGCUAACAUGGUACAAAAGUACAAAGGUACUAAAAGUACAAAAAAAUUAGCUGGGUGUGGUGGCACAUGCCUGUAGUCCCAGCUACUUAGGACGCUGAGGCAGGAGAAUCGCUUGAACCUGGGAGGCGGAGGCUUCAGUGAGCCGAGAUCGCGCCACUGCCCUCCAGCCUGGCAACAGAGCCAGACUCCGUCUCAAAAAAAAAAAAAACAAAAAACCACAUAUCUUGUAUCUUUUGUAUUUUUAGGGGGGAAGAAAUUUGGGAGGAAGUCAUUUUUUAUUCUCUCAGUGGUUUAUUUGCUGCUUGUCUCAUCUUUGAAAUAUUUUCUGUUAUCUACUUUACUGGCGAGACUCUAGUCCAGGGAGUGAACACUCUGGCUUAGCUCAUCUUUUCCACCUUUAGCUAUUCACUUCUUUUCUCAUAUGUUCCAGAAGAAACUCCCAAGUAGCAAAAUUGAUGAAGAGACUUUAUCGCCUCUGCAUAACCCCAGAUUGCCUGACGUGUUUUCUCAUGUCUUGUUCUUUUUUUUCUCGCUCUUGUCCUCCAGGUUUGAGUGCAAUGGCUUGAUCUCGGCUCACUGCAACCUCCGCCUCCCAGGUUCAAAUGAUUCUCCUGCCUCUGCCUCCCAAGUAGCUGGGGUUAAGGUGCCUGCCACCACACCCGGCUAAUUUUUGUAUUUUUUAGUAGAGAUGGGGUUUCACCAUGUUGGCCAGGCUGGUCUCGAAUUCCUGACCUCAGGUGAUCCGCCCGCCUCAGCCUCCCAAAGUGCUGGGAUUACAGGCAUGAGCCACUGCGCCUGGCCACAUCCUGUUUCUUUAAAACAGAAGGCUGAAAGGUAUAGCCAUCUAUCCAAGAACAAUGGCCAGCCCCUCUGUAGGCAGGCUCUGAGAGAGACGUCGAUGAUGCCAGACUCAAUGGGGAGGGCAGAGUUGAGAACCACUGAAUUCCAUUCUGGAAACAUCAGCAAGACCUUUCAUGGAUAUUAUAGAUGGAAAGAAUCCCAAGAGACCAGUGAAGCAAGAAAUUAUCAAAGCUGCGGUAUUUACGAAGUCACUUUGUGCCAGUGCCCCAGCAAGCUGCCACCAUGGCUGCCAAGCCCUGUCACCCUUGCUGAUCAGUACAGAGAGGGGCUCGCUGCGCUGGGUAGAGGAAGCAGGAAGUUUGCUGAACUCAGACGGAAGAAAAAGGAUUCCUCUGGAGAAUCCCAGCAGGUUUCUGAUUGGACAUGGGUCCAUGUCCUUGUGAAGUCUCCUCCUCCUGAACCUGCCCUGCUCUGUGACUUGCUUUUGACCACUAGCAUGCUGCAGAAGUGAUGCCUUGUGACUUCUGAGCGGGUCAUAGGAAGCCUUGCAGUGUGGCCUGGGUCUUCAGGAAUGCUUGUUUGAGGAAAACCACUGUCAUGUAAGAAGUAUGGCUACCCUGAGACUGUCAUGGUGUGAGGACUCCUAAAUGAGUCACAUGUGGAGGGCCACCUAUUCAGGCCUCAGUUCUUCCAGCCAUUGCGACUGUGGCCCACGCAUGUGGGGGAAGAGGCCAUUUUUCACACCCAUCCCAGUUGAGUCUUUAGAUGAUCCCUUCCUGGGCCUCCAGCUGACUGUAACCAGACCCCAGGCAGGAACCACAUAGGAACUGAACCCAGUCAACCCACAGGCUGGUGAGGAUGAUAGUCCAUUGUUGUAUAAAGCCACUGCAUUUGGAAUGGUCUGUUGUAUACUACCUAAUCAGAACAAGACUCCAUCCUUUCUUCAUAGCUGGUAGUCUUAAGCAUUUAUUAAUUCAUAUUUUAGUCACAUUAUGAAUUUUCUAUCACAAUAAGCAUUUAUUGAGCACUUUUUAUAGAGGGACUAUGCUAGGCUUGAAGAAUAAAAGACACAUAGGACACGGCCCUGCUUACGUUCAGGUAGCUGUGGUCUAAACGAGGACGCACACAUAAGGUGAAGACCCCAUGGGAUGGAAUACACAGGGAUAACAAGCCUCACAGUGGAAUGGUCGCUUUACCAGGGGUGAGGCGAUUCUGCCUAUAAGGUAGGGAAGGACUUUCUGAAAGGGUGACACUGAGUUCCACCUUGAAAAAUGCCUGAGAAUUCACCCACAGACACAGUGGAAGAGGGGUGUUCCGAGGAAGGGAGAUCAAUGUGCAGAGAGACAGAAAUCCCGGUUCGCUUAUUCCCAACAAGGCAGAGAACAAACCUCUCCCAGUGAUGCCCUCCCUUGUUCCCGUCCCCAAUCUUUUGAUAAUAGUGGGAAGGGUUUCAAAGUGAGGGUUGAAAAUGGGCUGGUUUUGCCACCCCUUAGUAAGUCUUGGGCAGGAUUCUCAACUCUUGACACUCAUUAAAAUCACCUGGGAAGCUUUUGCAAAACUCCAGCAUGGUACAACUACUUUAGAAACUGGUGUUAUCCAUUAAAACUAAACAUUUGCUUAUCUUAGCAAUUCCACUCCUAGGUAUAUAGACAGAAACACAUACGUACCUGUGUCAAAAAACAUGUAUAGGCAUGUUCAAGACCACACUGUUUGGCCAAGUGCCCUAGUUCAUGCCUGUAAUCCCAGCACCUUGGGAGGCCAAGGCGGGUGUAUUGCUUGAGGCCAGGAGUUUGAGACCAGCCUGGGCAUCAUAGUGAGACUCCCAUCUCGACACACACACAGUUUUUUUUUUUUAAUUAGCUGGGUGUGGUGGCGUGCACCUGUAGUCCUAGCUACUUGGGAGGCUGAGGUGAUAGGAUCCCUUGAGCCCAGAAGUUCAAGGCUGAAAUGAGCUAUGAUUGUGUCACAGCACUCCAGUAUGGGCAACAGAGAGAUCCUAUGUCCAAAACAAAAACAAAAACAAAACAAAAAUACACAUACACACAUUAUUUGUAAGAUGUACAAAAAGGGAACAAUCCAUGUGUAUCAAUAGAAUAGUUAUAUGCUGUGUAUGCGUAAUCAGUGUCUUAACCUGUUCAGGCUGCUGAAUACCUCAACUGGGUAAUUUACAAACAACAGAAUUUAUGGCUCAUGGUUCUAGAGGCUAGGUAGUCUAAGAUGCAAACGUCAACAGAUUUGAUGUCUGGCAAGGGCCUGUUCAUCACAGAUGGCACCCUUUUGCUGUGUCCUCACAUGGCAAAAGGGACAAACAGGAUUUUUUCAAGCCUCUUUUAUGAGGGUACUAAUUCCAUUUAUGGGGGGAGAGCCUUUGUAACCCAUUCACUUCCUAAAGCCCCCACCACUUAAUACUAUUGGAGAUUAGAUUUCAAUAUAUGAAAUUUGGGUGGGACACAAACGUUCAUACCAUAGCGGGCAGACAAUGUAAUACUAUACAGCAAUGAAAAGAAAUGAACAACAGCGACCCAGAACAACAUGAAUGAACUUUUUUUUUUUUUUUUUUUUGACAGAGUCUUGCUCUAUUGCCCAGGCUGGAAUGCAGUGACACAAUCUUGGCCCAACCUCCACCUCUUGGGUUCAAGCAAUUCUCCUGCCUCCGCCUUCCGAGUAGCUGGGAUUACAGGCACACGCCACCAUGCCCAGCCAAUUUUUGUAUUUCUAGUAGAGAUGGGGUUUUGCCACGUUGACCAGGCUGGUCUUGAACUCCUGACCUCGGGUGAUCCGCCUGCCUCAGCCUCCCAAAGUGCUGGGAUUGCAGGCAUGAGCCACUGUGCCAGGCCCGUGAAUGAAUCUUAAAAAUAAAAUAGUGAAUCAAGGAAGUCAGACACAAAGAGUACAUACUCUACGGCUGCAUUUCUAUAAAUAUCAAAAAGAGGCAAAACAAAUGUGUGGUGUUAGAAAUCAGGAGAGUGUUACUAUCCUGGGGAGGAAGGAGAAGACCUAAAGGAACUUGAGGUGGGCUUUGGCCUGCUGGUAGAGCUUUUUUUUUUUUAUCUCGAUCUAGGUGGUAGUUACAUACGGAUAUUCACGUUGUAAAAGUUUGCCAAGGCUUUAAUGUAAUUAUCUGAUGCAUAUUAUAAUUAAAAUGGAAAGUUUAUUUUAAAAGUACCAGUGCUUGGUCUCCACCCCUAGGGACUCUGGUUUUAUUGCUCUGGGAAGGAGCUCAGCCCUCUUGGUGUAAAAAUUUUCCAGGUGAUUCUGAUGUGCAGUCAGGCUUGAGAAAC
ensembl:lincRNA